GAUCCUUCUGUGAAGCAACACACCAUUUAACCUCUUGGCAUCACUUCAUGUGAAACGGUAUCACAAUGACGACUAAAGUUUUCACCAAACUUCUACUUUCUUCUCUGUGGAUUCAAGUUCGCUGCCAGGAUGUCACCCAGUUCCCUUCCAUCAGCUGGAAUCGUCAGUCCACAUCUGCAGAGAUGAACUGCAGCCACAACAAGGAUGCUUCUCAUUCCCAGAUGUACUGGUACCGGCAGCGUCCAGGAGAGACCAUGACCCUCAUCGUGUACACAGCUUCGGGAUUAAGUCCAGAAUACGGAGGGAGCUCCCAAACCAAAUAUUCAGCCAUCAAAGACAGCUUUGAAAAGGGGGCUCUUUCUGUCAAAGACCUGCAGCCUGAUGACAGCGGUGUGUAUUUCUGUGCUGUCAGCAAACACAGUGAUGUGAGGACUGGAAACAGCUGA